rnacentral:lncRNA from 1 species
CUCGAUUUACUUGUGUUAGGUAGUGAUCGUUCAGAAUUUCUGUGAACUGGACUUCGUCUUCGCCGGCUGUUAACUCUGGCGAUUCCCAACAGAUCUUCGGAAAGUUGAAGUCACCGCAUAUCAGUAUGUUGGCGUAAUCUGAACACUUAUUAGCCAAAAAGAGGUUGAACUCGUCCAGCCAUUUCCUGUUCAUAGUCUGCGGGGGCUUGUACGUACAACAUGCCAGGUAUUUCUUGUUGCAGGUAGAUGUUAAUUCUAUUGCAACUAGU